AGAGUUUGAUCAUGGCUCAGGAUGAACGCUAGCUACAGGCUUAACACAUGCAAGUCGAGGGGAAACGACAUCGAAAGCUUGCUUUUGAUGGUCGUCGACCGGCGCACGGGUGAGUAACGCGUAUCCAACCUGCCCAUCACUUGGGGAUAACCUUGCGAAAGUAAGACUAAUACCCAAUGAUAUCUCUAGAAGAAAACAUCUGAAAGAGAUUAAAGAUUUAUCGGUGAUGGAUGGGGAUGCGUCUGAUUAGCUUGUUGGCGGGGUAACGGCCCACCAAGGCAACGAUCAGUAGGGGUUCUGAGAGGAAGGUCCCCUACAUUGGAACUGAGACACGGUCCAAACUCCUACGGGAGGCAGCA
rnacentral:rRNA from 1 species